rnacentral:rRNA from 1 species
UACGUAGGUGGCAAGCGUUGUCCGGAAUUACUGGGCGUAAAGGGCGCGUAGGCGGCCUACUAAGUCGGACGUGAAAUCCCUCGGCUCAACCGGGGAACUGCGUCCGAUACUGGUGGGCUCGAAUCCGGGAGAGGGAUGUGGAAUUCCAGGUGUAGCGGUGAAAUGCGUAGAUAUCUGGAGGAACACCGGUGGCGAAGGCGGCAUCCUGGACCGGUAUUGACGCUGAUGCGCGAAAGCCAGGGGAGCAAACGGG